AGUUGGAUAGUAUAAUGGCAUUACAAUUAUUUGCAAAAUAAUUAAAUAUUGGUUCGAAUCCAAUUCCAUUCU
rnacentral:tRNA from 1 species